GAUUUCUGGCCUGGUGCGCCUGGCCCGCCGCCACAAGCGGUGAGUGCCGGAGCGUGCCUGCCAUCCUUCUAGACAGUGUAGCUACCCUUCAUUGGGCCGGUUACACCAGCUAGAUCUUUUACUUUGAAAAAAUUAGAGUGUUUAAAGCAGGCUAUGUUUGCUAUGAAUACAUUAGCAUGGAAUAAUAAUUUAGGACUUCGGUUCUAUUUUGUUGGUCUCUUCUAGGACUGAAGUAAUGAUUGAUAGGGAUAGUUGGGGGUGCUAGUAUUCAGUGGCCAGAGGUGAAAUUCUCGGAUUCACUGAAGACUAACUUAUGCGAAAGCAUU
rnacentral:rRNA from 1 species